rnacentral:tRNA from 1 species
GUGGCUAUAGCUCAAUUGGUUAGAGCACCAGAUUGUGGUUCUGGGGGUUGUGGGUUCGAGUCCCAUUAGCCACCCCA